GGGCCUGAUGCCACGUCACCUGUAGCUACGGCUUUGACCGGUGAUGCUUUGAUUAGGCCAAAACAGAGUUGGUUUCCUACGUUUCACAUGUUGAUAGGAACCUGGGACUGCAUCUCCAUCGGUC
rnacentral:snoRNA from 1 species